rfam:Coniochaeta ligniaria NRRL 30616 unplaced genomic scaffold CONLIGscaffold_21, whole genome shotgun sequence.
GCAACCGUGGUCUAACGGUUAGGAUUCAACCCUUCCAAGGUUGAGGCAGGGGUUCGACUCCCCUCGGUUGCA